GGGUGCCUCUCUCUUAUCCCAUUACAAAAAGUAAAGUCACGUAACUCCCAUUGGCGUGAGAGUAUAUGGGGCAUGAUCUUCCUUUGAAUCAAGUCCAAUACUUGGUCCAAGUCUAAUUGGUUUUGAGUUUCCAUAUGAGACCUAAUCUCAAAUCAAAAGGAGUCCUAGUUCCAUAAGACUCUUAUCAAAUCAAACUUUUUGACUUUGUUCAAUCCAAUUUGACUCAAACUCAGAUCAAGUCCAAU
rnacentral:lncRNA from 1 species